AUUAGAGUUUGAUCCUGGCUCAGGAUGAGCGCUGGCGGCGUGCUUAACACAUGCAAGUCGAACGAUGAUCUCCAGCUUGCUGGGGGGAUUAGUGACGAACGGGUGAGUAACACGUGAGUAACCUGCCCUUGACUCUGGGAUAAGCCUGGGAAACUGGGUCUAAUACCGGAUACGACCGCUCCACGCAUGUGGUGGUGGUGGAAAGCUUUUGCGGUUUUGGAUGGACUCGCGGCCUAUCAGCUUGUUGGUGGGGUAAUGGCCUACCAAGGCGACGACGGGUAGCCGGCCUGAGAGGGUGACCGGCCACACUGGGACUGAGACACGGCCCAGACUCCUACGGGAGGCAGCAGUGGGGAAUAUUGCACAAUGGGCGGAAGCCUGAUGCAGCGACGCCGCGUGAGGGAUGACGGCCUUCGGGUUGUAAACCUCUUUCAGUAGGGAAGAAGCGUAAGUGACGGUACCUGCAGAAGAAGCGCCGGCUAACUACGUGCCAGCAGCCGCGGUAAUACGUAGGGCGCAAGCGUUAUCCGGAAUUAUUGGGCGUAAAGAGCUCGUAGGCGGUUUGUCGCGUCUGCUGUGAAAGACCGGGGCUCAACUCCGGUUCUGCAGUGGGUACGGGCAGACUAGAGUGAUGUAGGGGAGACUGGAAUUCCUGGUGUAGCGGUGAAAUGCGCAGAUAUCAGGAGGAGCACCGAUGGCGAAGGCAGGUCUCUGGGCAUUAACUGACGCUGAGGAGCGAAAGCAUGGGGAGCGAACAGGAUUAGAUACCCUGGUAGUCCAUGCCGUAAACGUUGGGCACUAGGUGUGGGGGACAUUCCACGUUUUCCGCGCCGUAGCUAACGCAUUAAGUGCCCGCCUGGGGAGUACGGCCGCAAGGCUAAACUCAAGGAAUUGACGGGG
rnacentral:rRNA from 2 species